rnacentral:rRNA from 1 species
AUGGGAGUGGGUUGCUCCAGAAGUAGGUAGCUUAACCUUAGGGAGGGCGCUUACCACGGAGUGAUUCAUGACUGGGGUGAAGUCGUAACAAGGUAGCCCUAGGGGAACCUGGGGCUGGAUCACCUCCUUAUACGA